rfam:Triticum aestivum genome assembly, contig: Triticum_aestivum_CS42_TGACv1_scaffold_080637_1DS
UAAAUACUCCCUCCGUCCGAAAAUACUUGUCAUCAAAAUGGAUAAAAGAGAUGUAUCUAAAACUAAAAUACGUCUAGAUACAUUUCCUUUUAUCCAUUUUGAUGGCAAGUAUCUCCGGACGGAGAAAGUAUUUG